AGACCAGUCCAAACCAGUUCAGACCAGUUCAAACCGGAGCCAGCUGAAAUGUGGGAUUAUAAAUGGAUCCCAAAAAUCCCCAAAAUCCCGGAGCAAUUCCCUUCUUUUCUUGUGUGAUUGGAGUAAAAUGGGAGCUGAUCCCAGUUCAGACCAGUCCAAACCAGUUCAAACCAGUCCAAACCAGUCCAAACCAGUUCAAACCAGUCCAGACCAGUUCAGACCAGUUCAAACCGGAGCCAGCUGAAAUGCAGGAUAAUAAACGGAUCCCAAAAAUCCCCAAAAUCCCGGAGCAAUUCCCUUCUUUUCUUCUGUGAUUGGAGCAAAAUGGGAGCUGAUCCCAGUUCAGACCACUCCAAACCAGUUCAGACCAGUUCAAAUCGGUUCAGACCAGUUCAAACCGGUUCAGACCAGUUCAAGUUCCUGAGAUAAUAAAUGGGAAAAGCCCAAUCCCCA
rnacentral:lncRNA from 1 species